GAGUUUGAUCGUGGCUCAGGAUGAACGCUAGCGGCAGGCCUAAUACAUGCAAGUCGGACGGGAUUGGAGAGCUUGCUUUCCAUGAGAGUGGCGCACGGGUGCGUAACACGUAUGUAACCUACCCUUAUCAGGGGGAUAGCCUCUCGAAAGAGAGAUUAAGCCCGCAUAACAUCACGACAUAGCAUUAUGAUGUGAUCAAAUAUUUAUAGGAUAAGGAUGGGCAUGCGGAACAUUAGCUAGUUGGUAAGGUAACGGCUUACCAAGGCUACGAUGUUUAGGGGAUCUGAGAGGAUGACCCCCCCACACUGGUACUGAGACACGGACCAGACUCCUACGGGAGGCAGCAGUAAGGAAUAUUGGUCAAUGGGCGGAAGCCUGAACCAGCCAUGCCGCGUGCAGGAAGACGGCCCUACGGGUUGUAAACUGCUUUUGCAGGGGAAUAAACCUCCGGUCGUGACCGGAGCUGAAUGUACUCUGAGAAUAAGGAUCGGCUAACUCCGUGCCA
rnacentral:rRNA from 1 species